rnacentral:rRNA from 1 species
UUAAUUGAAGAGUUUGAUCAUGGCUCAGAUUGAACGCUGGCGGCAGGCCUAACACAUGCAAGUCGAACGGUAACAGGAAACAGCUUGCUGUUUCGCUGACGAGUGGCGGACGGGUGAGUAAUGUCUGGGAAACUGCCUGAUGGAGGGGGAUAACUACUGGAAACGGUAGCUAAUACCGCAUAACGUCGCAAGACCAAAGAGGGGGACCUUCGGGCCUCUUGCCAUCGGAUGUGCCCAGAUGGGAUUAGCUAGUAGGUGGGGUAACGGCUCACCUAGGCGACGAUCCCUAGCUGGUCUGAGAGGAUGACCAGCCACACUGGAACUGAGACACGGUCCAGACUCCUACGGGAGGCAGCAGUGGGGAAUAUUGCACAAUGGGCGCAAGCCUGAUGCAGCCAUGCCGCGUGUAUGAAGAAGGCCUUCGGGUUGUAAAGUACUUUCAGCGGGGAGGAAGGAGUAAAGUUAAUACCUUUGCUCAUUGACGUUACCCGCAGAAGAAGCACCGGCUAACUCCGUGCCAGCAGCCGCGGUAAUACGGAGGGUGCAAGCGUUAAUCGGAAUUACUGGGCGUAAAGCGCACGCAGGCGGUUUGUUAAGUCAGAUGUGAAAUCCCGGGCUCAACCUGGGAACUGCAUCUGAUACUGGCAAGCUUGAGUCUCGUAGAGGGGGUAGAAUUCCAGGUGUAGCGGUGAAAUGCGUAGAGAUCUGGAGGAAUACCGGUGGCGAAGGCGGCCCCUGGACGAAGACUGACGCUCAGGUGCGAAAGCGUGGGGACAACAGGAUUAGAUACCCUGGUAGUCCACGCCGUAAACGAUGUCGACUUGGAGGUUGUGCCCUUGAGGCGUGGCUUCCGGAGCUAACGCGUUAAGUCGACCGCCUGGGGAGUACGGCCGCAAGGUUAAAACUCAAAUGAAUUGACGGGGGCCCGCACAAGCGGUGGAGCAUGUGGUUUAAUUCGAUGCAACGCGAAGAACCUUACCUGGUCUUGACAUCCACAGAACUUUCCAGAGAUGGAUUGGUGCCUUCGGGAACUGUGAGACAGGUGCUGCAUGGCUGUCGUCAGCUCGUGUUGUGAAAUGUUGGGUUAAGUCCCGCAACGAGCGCAACCCUUAUCCUUUGUUGCCAGCGGUCCGGCCGGGACUCAAAGGAGACUGCCAGUGAUAAACUGGAGGAAGGUGGGGAUGACGUCAAGUCAUCAUGGCCCUUACGACCAGGGCUACACACGUGCUACAAUGGCGCAUACAAAGAGAAGCGACCUCGCGAGAGCAAGCGGACCUCAUAAAGUGCGUCGUAGUCCGGAUUGGAGUCUGCAACUCGACUCCAUGAAGUCGGAAUCGCUAGUAAUCGUGGAUCAGAAUGCCACGGUGAAUACGUUCCGGGCCUUGUACACACCGCCCGUCACACCAUGGGAGUGGGUUGCAAAAGAAGUAGGUAGCUUAACCUUCGGGAGGGCGCUUACCACUUUGUGAUUCAUGACUGGGGUGAAGUCGUAACAAGGUAACCGUAGGGAACCUGCGGUUGGAUCACCUCCUUA